rnacentral:rRNA from 1 species
UACGUAGGGUGCAAGCGUUGUCCGGAAUUAUUGGGCGUAAAGAGCUCGUAGGCGGUCUGUUGCGUCGGCUGUGAAAACCCGGGGCUCAACCCCGGGCCUGCAGCCGAUACGGGCAGACUAGAGUUCGGCAGGGGAGACUGGAAUUCCUGGUGUAGCGGUGAAAUGCGCAGAUAUCAGGAGGAACACCGGUGGCGAAGGCGGUUCUCUGGGCAUGAUCUGACGCUGAGGAGCGAAAGUGUGGGGAGCGAACAGG